UCGCGUUGUCUUUCAAAGUGACGCCGAACAUGUGAAUGUACUGGAACCCAUUGCGUGGUCAUUGAUUGGAAUAGGGUGCUUCUUUGGUGUCAUUUCAUCUGUAAUACGCUAUGUGCUCAAACGGAGAGAAGAGGCAGUUAAUAAUGAGAGCAUAACAGAGGUUCAAGCAAAUGCUUUCCAUCUACCAGAAUCAGGCGUCAUAUCUACAACCAACAGAAAGAACAGCUCUUUUGAAAUGUAUUAAUUAAUUAUGCACAAAUCUGUUGCUAUGAGAACUGUCUGUACCCAGGGCCGCAGGGGGG